UGCAGAGCCCUGCCAUUAAGCGUCUCAAAGACACCUGGGGACAAGUAUCCAGGUGGGUAGGCUGCUCUCUAUCCAAGCACCACGAGGGGGAGGUGGACCUGGCAGCCGGCAAUGGGUCGCCAUGGCCCCCGCAGUCAGCUGAGACCACCUGGGAGACAGUGAAUGCCUGGGACACAGACUGAUCCAGUUCCUGGGUCUCUGAGCCUCUCAGGGCCCUUAGGCCAGCGGUUCUGCCCAGGAACUCAUUUCCUUCAAUAUCAGAUCCUGACUUGAGCCCAGUUGGAGAUUCUCAAGUGUUUUUCCUUUGCAGCAACAGAAAUCUCCAUCCAACUGAAACCAAGAGUGUUCAAAACAGAUCUGUGUGGUAGAUAUGGGAAUGGAGGCCCCAGGUGACAACAGGAGAGGCCCCUCCCCAGUCCCAUGGGGACCUCGGGGCUCAGAGCAACCCAGUGAAAUCCCUCAUCCAGGCCCCAGGCUGUUUGGAUCUUUUGGGAUCUAAAACAAAUGGGAUUUGCCCUUCAACCAUCCCAUAGUCUUUCUUUCUUUCUUUCCCCACUCCCCCAGGGAGAGAUCCUACACCUUUAAGAAGUGGUGCAGGGGAGAGCAGCACGUGAGCAUGAGACUGCUCCUGAAGGUAACCUGGGGCUGGAGAUCUGGGAGGAGGGGUGUGUGAGGGAGCCGGGAACAUCCUGAGGGCAUCCUAGGAACUGAGGCUAUGGUAAGGCCAUCCUGGGGUUCAGAGACCCCUGUGGAUGGGGCAGGAAGGAGAUGCCACACGGCCACCACCAACACCCUCUGCCCUCUCCCUCCACAUCUCAGUUUGGCUAUUGUUGGGACACACUCUGGGAGUGCAGAGGUCAGGACCGUGGUCAGUGGUGGGGCAGGGCGAGGGGUGAAGGCAGUGGGGACAGGGACUCUGGCUGGGACGGAGAGUGGCCUCUCCUCAGUGGGUCCUUGAGCAAGUCUCUGCCCCUCUGUGGGCCUCGGUCUCCUCCUCUGGGAAAUGGAGGGAGAUGACGUGGUGCAGGCCUCACGGUGGGGUGAUACCGUCCAAGGGAUGACAGGAAUGGGAGGAGAUUUGUGCUGGCUCCUCCUCGAGAGCUGAGGGGAGAGCAGUGAUGACAGUCAGAUGACAGGAAGUCCUAGGAGAGCGCUGGAGGCAGGUGGAGUUCUCCUCACUCUUUCCUGAUGAGGAAAGAGGCUCAGGGAGGCCUGGGCAGGCCCAAGGUCGCACAAGAGUGAGUCCUGGAGCCAGGACUGGUCUAGAAUCAGAGCACUCUGGAGGUGGAAACAGCAUAGGCAGCAGGGGACUGGAACCUGAUGGCCAGGGUCUGAGGUCAGGGGCCUUGGGGGACAUGUGGAAGGGAGAAGGACCUCUCUGACCCUGUCCUCAGCACUGACAGGAGGCGAGCUCCGUGUUGGCCACUGCACAGAGGGCCCGCCAUGGAGCCCAGUAGAGGCGGUGGCAGCAGGGUGUUGUCCCCUCCCUGGUGACAUUCUUCAGUUCCCUUGAGCUGCUGGACACUACGAUGGAGGAUUAUGUGGUGGUGAGUGAGCCUGGAGGUGGGUCCAGGGGUUCAGGCUCCUGAGGGUGGGGAGAAGAGAGUCCUGCCCUGAGCACUGAGCUGUCUGCAUUUGGCAAAGGUCCUCUCAGCAGUGCCUCCAGCCUCCUGUGGCAGCCGAGGCAUCAGGCCCAACACAGUGAUGAGUGAUGCAGGCUCCGCUUGGUUUGGCCGACCCCCGGGCUGUCGGGCAGGGGAAGAACUUCAAUGCUGUCUGCCAGCACCUGUCAGCAUGCCUGUACUAGGUCACAAGAAUGGCCACCACCAAUGUCUGUCUCUGGAGACGUCUCACCUCUCACAGAGACACACCCAGAGCCUACCAGGUGAGUCUCUUUUCACCAAAGGACUGUGCAGCUUUCUUUUUGGUGAUUUUAGGUUUCUCUCUGAUAUGGCUGAAUUUGUGCCUGGGCCCUUUAAGACCCUGUGUUUUCCUGCUUUCAUCUGAUAGCUUUUCUGGGGGUAUUGCCCCAUUGCAGUUAAUAGACAGCCAAGCCAAAUAGUAGGGCACUCAUCUCAGUUGUGCUGAGUCU
rnacentral:lncRNA from 1 species